UACAGAGGUCCCGAGCGUUGUUCGGAUUCACUGGGCGUAAAGGGUGCGUAGGUGGCUGGGAAAGUUUGAUGUGAAAGCUCAGGGCUUAACCCUGAAAUGGCAUUGAAUACUACUUAGCUGGAGGUUUGGAGGGGGGACUGGAAUUCUUGGUGUAGCAGUGAAAUGCGUAGAUACCAAGAGGAACACCAGUGGCGAAGGCGGGUCUCUGGGCUGACACUGACGCUCAUGCACGAAAGCGUGGGGAGCAAACAGGG
rnacentral:rRNA from 1 species